rnacentral:rRNA from 1 species
UACGUAGGGUGCGAGCGUUGUCCGGAAUUAUUGGGCGUAAAGGGCUCGUAGGCGGUCUGUCACGUCGGGUGUGAAAACUCGGGGCUUAACCCCGAGCCUGCUUCCGAUACGGGCAGACUAGAGGUAUGCAGGGGAGAACGGAAUUCCUGGUGUAGCGGUGAAAUGCGCAGAUAUCAGGAGGAACACCGGUGGCGAAGGCGGUUCGCUGGGCAUUACCUGACGCUGAGGAGCGAAAGUGUGGGGAGCGAACAGG